GAGACUCUGUGCGCGUGCAUAUCAAUAAGCGGAGGAAAAGAAACUAACAAGGAUUCCCCUUAGUAACGGCGAGUGAAGCGGGAAGAGCUCAAACUUGAAAUCUUCAAGGUUUUACCUUGACGAAUUGUAGUUUAAAGAAGUGUUUUCUGUUGAAGUUUUGGUAAAAGUUCUUUGGAAUAGGACAUCAUAGAGGGUGAGAAUCCCGUAUUUGGUCAUUCUUUCUAGCUUUGUGAUACACUUUCAACGAGUCGGAUUGUUUGGGAAUGCAGUCCAAAAUGGGUGGUAAAUUUCAUCUAAAGCUAAAUAUUGGCGAGAGACCGAUAGCGAACAAGUACCGUGAGGGAAAGAUGAAAAGAACUUUGAAAAGAGAGUUAAACAGUACGUGAAAUUGUCAAAAGGGAAGCGUUUGACACCAGUGUUGUUUUCUCGAAAAUCAAUUAAAAAAGAUUGGAUUUUGUGUUGUAUUGACUUUAUCAGCUUUCUGCACUCUUUUCUUGUCUUUUUUAAUGCACUUUUCGUUUAACAAGUCAACAUCAAUUUCUUUUGUCGUAAAAGGUUGAGAGGAAGGUGGCUUUACUUUCGGGUAAAGUGUUUAUAGCCUUUUAACUCUGCAAUCGGAGAGAUUGAGGUCUGCAGCGUAGAUCCUUCGGGGUUAGAUACGUUUGUGCUAAGUUAUAGUUUUUUAUAGACAACUUGUUGACUAUGUUAAGUCUUGUAGCUUACUCGCUUACGCUAUUUUACCUACGCUUAGGAUGUUGACGAUCAGCUGAGCGCGG
rnacentral:rRNA from 1 species